GAUGAAGAACGCAGCGAAAUGCGAUACGUAGUGUGAAUUGCAGAAUUCAGUGAAUCAUCGAAUCUUUGAACGCACAUUGCACCUCUCGGUAUUCCGGGAGGUAUGCCUGUUCGAGCGUCAUUUGUACCCUCAAGCUCUGCUUGGUGUUGGGUGUUUGUUCCGCCUCUGUGUGUGAACUCGCCUCAAAACAAUUGGCAGCCGGCGUACUUGUUUCGGAGCGCAGCACAUUUUGCGAUCCAGAUCAACGUACAGCGGCAUCCAAGAAGCCUUAUUUAACGCUCUUGACCUCGGAUCAGGUAGGGAUACCCGCUGAACUUAAGCAUAUCAAUAAGCGGAGGAU
rnacentral:misc_RNA from 1 species